rnacentral:rRNA from 1 species
CCUACGGGGCGCAGCAGUGGGGAAUAUUGCGCAAUGGGCGAAAGCCUGACGCAGCGACGCAGCGUGCGGGAUGAAGGUCCUCGGAUCGUAAACCUCUGUCAGCAGGGAAGAACGGUCACUGUGCUAAUCAGCAGUGAAUUGACGGUACCUGCAAAGGAAGCACCGGCUAACUCCGUGACAGCAGCCGCGGUAAUACGGAGGGUGCGAGCGUUAGUCGGAAUUACUGGGCGUACAGCGCUCGUAGGCGGUAUGUCAAGUCAAGGGUGAAAUCCCCGCGCUCAACGUGGGAACUGCCUUUGAAACUGGCAAACUGGAGUGUGUGAGAGGAUAGUGGAAUUCCAGGUGUAGGAGUGAAAUCCGUAGAUAUCUGGAGGAACAUCAGUGGCGAAGGCGACUAUCUGGCACAUAACUGACGCUGAGGAGCGAAAGCGUGGGUAGCAAACAGGAUUAGAUACCCUAGUAGUC